rnacentral:snRNA from 1 species
UCGAAAUAUUUACCCUAAC